rnacentral:rRNA from 1 species
AACGAACGCUGGCGGCGCGCCUAAUACAUGCAAGUCGAGCGAGAAGGUGUAGCAAUACACUUGUAAAGCGGCGAACGGGUGAGGAAUGCAUGGGUAACCUACCCUCGAGUGGGGAAUAACUAGCCGAAAGGUAGCUAAUACCGCAUACGUUUCCGGAACUUCGGUUUCGGAAAGAAAGCAAUACCGUGGGUAUUGCGCUCCUGGAUGGGCUCAUGUCCUAUCAGCUUGUUGGUGAGGUAACGGCUCACCAAGGCUUCGACGGGUAGCUGGUCUGAGAGGACGAUCAGCCACACUGGCACUGCGACACGGGCCAGACUCCUACGGGAGGCAGCAGUAAGGAAUAUUGGGCAAUGGACGCAAGUCUGACCCAGCCAUGCCGCGUGCAGGAAGACGGCCCUCUGGGUUGUAAACUGCUUUUAUCAGGGAGAAACCCUUCUACGUGUAGAAGGCUGACGGUACCUGAGGAAUAAGGAUCGGGCUAACUCCGACGCCAGCAGCCGCGGUAAU